AACAAAGGGUGACCCAGAGUUGGGACAGGGUCAUUGUUCGCAUCUCUGUGCAAAACCAGCUUCCCCUGCCUCCCCCAGCAGCUACUGGAGUGGAAGACCCAGCUUCCUUGCCACUGAUAUUCUCAGGAGCCCCACCAUCGGCAGAAGAAACAAAAACGUAGCUGUUAUGUAGUGACCUGGAGGACAGAUGGGUUGCUGAGCAUCUUUAGGAAUCAUAGAAAUAGUGGGAAAGAAGGGGAAAUCUUUCUGGGGAAAGAAUGCUACAGAAAAAAAUGGCUUUAAAAAAACAGAUGUUGAAGGGAGAAAUGAUCUUCAACAAAUAAGAGGACCUAUUCAAGAUCCAUGGAUGUAGUAAGCAAAAUCUAUCAAGACUCACUUGGCUUCACCAUCCCUGAACUGUGGCCUGGAAACUCCCUCAAGGGGAAGAUAUGUAAUAGUAUUUAUGACAAGAAUAA
rnacentral:lncRNA from 1 species